GAGCGAACGGGGAGCAGCCCAGAGUCUGAAUCAGCUUGUGUGUUAGUGGAACGGUCUGGAAAGUCCGACGGUACAGGGUGAUAGUCCCGUACACCAAAAUGCACAGGCUGUGAACUCGAAGAGUAGGGCGGGACACGUGGUAUCCUGUCUGAAUAUGGGGGACCAUCCUCCAAGGCUAAAUACUCCUGACUGACCGAUAGUGAACCAGUACCGUGAGGGAAAGGCGAAAAGAACCCCGGCGAGGGGAGUGAAAAAGAACCUGAAACCGUGUACGUACAAGCAGUGGGAGCACCUUCGGGUGUGACUGCGUACCUUUUGUAUAAUGGGUCAGCGACUUAUAUUCUGUAGCAAGGUUAACCGUAUAGGGGAGCCGCAGGGAAACCGAGUCUUAACUGGGCGUUAAGUUGCAGG
rnacentral:rRNA from 1 species